CGUCGCCAAGGGCGGAAUGGGCUCGGUUUCCACCAGCUUCCCAGUCCCAGCCACCCCCCCCCACUGUCCCAGCCCCUCAAGAUGACGCGCGCCCUACAUCUGCCGGGCGUUGGGAAGCCCACGACACCUCUGCGCGUCUCCCGAGUUUCGGGACCCGAAGGAGACCCCAUGCUCGGCGAUGCGCGGGCCUGCGCCGCCACCUGCUGGCCACCGACGUAAACUGCAGUCGCGAGGGCAGGGCCCUGGGCGGGCCUCGCAGGACCCCGGGGGCGCGGGUCCCUCGCGCUCAGGGCAGCUGAGCCCCGACUCGCUGUAGCUGGGGGCAGGGGCCGAUGGUUUUCGCUGUGACCUAGCUGUCGCUGGGCGCGUCCCAGCCCCGGGUCCAGGGCUUACCCUCACGCCUCUUAUUUCGAACACACAUUUUUUUUUUUUUUUUCGGAACCAGGGGUCGAACUCAAGACCUUGCACAUAUACACGCAGAUUUUGGACCCGGGUUGUUUCCAGGUUACGAAGAGCCCGGAUGUGCCGGUGCCUAGGGAGAAGCCAGAGUGAAAGGCAGCUGAGGUGAGCCUAGCAGAGCCUUCUGGCUUGGGGACAGCUGCUUAAAGGCCCGUGAGCUCCUCUAGUGGAGGCUGUAAGAAAGAAAAGCUUUCAUCAAGGACAGGCUUUAUUUAAGAUGAAGACCUGAGGGGGAGAAUAAGGUUUAUAAGGCGCUACAGGAAAGAAGGAAGUUAAGGCCUGUUGUUCGCCACGGUCCUUGAGUCUGGUCACCGGUCUGGCUCGCGUUUCCGCACGCGUUCCUGUCCAAGAGGCUGAAUGCUCCUUGAUUUGGGAUGUUUUGCACACUAAACAGAUUUAAUGGGCUACGUAAUUACAGAACACAGAAGAAUAUGGCUAAGGGUAGCCACUCUUGGGGAAAUUUUCCUCUCAGAGCCCGCAGCAGAAGGGUGCACAGGCUGUGACUCAACAUGGUUUGUGACUCAUGAACAGCCAUCCUGGUGCUGGGCACAUGUCUACUCUCCCAGGCAAGGAGCCUGCUGUCUACAAACCUCCUGCAAUCCUGCAGCAGAUGCUCGGAAGAACCUUCCCACAACCGGAGCCAGGAAGAUGAAGAUGCAGCCCCAUUCCCAGAGGGAACACAAUGGGCCAGGUAGCAGUGUGCACGGGAUCGAACUUGGGACCUCGAGCUUGCAAGGCAGGCGCCAAAACCACUGAGCUAAAUCCCCAGCCCUGGACAGAUUUCUUGAAGACACAAACUAUCCAACUCAUACAAGAAGAAACAAACUGAACAAGCCUAUAUCUAAUUAGAUAUAAGUAAUUAAUUAAUUUUCCAUAUUGAACCUGGGGCCUUGCACAUGCUAGGCAAGCUUUCUACC